rnacentral:rRNA from 1 species
AGCGAACGCUGGCGGGAGGCUUAACACAUGCAAGUCGAGCGGGCCCUUCGGGGUCAGCGGCAGACGGGUGAGUAACACGUGGGAACGUACCCUUUGGUUCGGAAUAACGCUGGGAAACUAGCGCUAAUACCGGAUACCCCCUUUUGGGGAAAGGCUUGCUGCCGAAGGAUCGGCCCGCGUCUGAUUAGCUAGUUGGUGGGGUAAUGGCCUACCAAGGCGACGAUCAGUAGCUGGUCUGAGAGGAUGAUCAGCCACACUGGGACUGAGACACGGCCCACACUCCUACGGGAGGCAGCAGUGGGGAAUAUUGGACAAUGGGCGCAAGCCUGAUCCAGCCAUGCCGCGUGAGUGAUGAAGGCCUUAGGGUUGUAAAGCUCUUUUGUCCGGGACGAUAAUGACGGUACCGGAAGAAUAAGCCCCGGCUAACUUCGUGCCAGCAGCCGCGGUAAUACGAAGGGGGCUAGCGUUGCUCGGAAUCACUGGGCGUAAAGGGCGCGUAAGCGGCCAUUCAAGUCGGGGGUGAAAGCCUGUGGCUCAACCACAGAAUUGCCUUCGAUACUGUUUGGCUUGAGUUUGGUAGAGGUUGGUGG